rnacentral:rRNA from 1 species
UCUUAGUGGCGGACGGGUGAGUAACGCGUGGGCAACCUGCCCUGUACCGGGGGAUAACACUUAGAAAUAGGUGCUAAUACCGCAUAACAGGGAAUACCGCAUGGUAAUCCUUUGAAAACUCCGGUGGUACAGGAUGGGCCCGCGUCUGAUUAGCCAGUUGGCGGGGUAACGGCCCACCAAGCGACGAUCAGCAGCCGGCCUGAGAGGGUGGACGGCCACACUGGGACUGAGACACGGCCCAGACUCCUACGGGAGGCAGCAG